AGAACUGUGUGGGGACAUCAAU
rnacentral:miRNA from 1 species